CUUCGGUUUAGCGGAAAGCGGCGGACGGGUGAGUAACGCGUGGGAAUUUACCAAAGAGUGGGGAACAACUGCUGGAAACGGCAGCUAAUACCGCAUACACCCUAUGGGGGAAAGGCUUCGGCCGCUCUUUGAGAAGCCCGCGUACGAUUAGUUUGUUGGUGGGGUAAUGGCCUACCAAGACUACGAUCGUUAGCUGGUCUGAGAGGACGAUCAGCCACACUGGGACUGAGACACGGCCCAGACUCCUACGGGAGGCAGCAGUGGGGAAUAUUGGACAAUGGGCGAAAGCCUGAUCCAGCGAUGCCGCGUGAGUGAAGAAGGCCCUAGGGUUGUAAAGCUCUUUCGGUGGGGAAGAUAAUGACGGUACCCACAAAAGAAGCCCCGGCUAACUCCGUGCCAGCAGCCGCGGUAAUACGGAGGGGGCUAGCGUUACUCGGAAUUACUGGGCGUAAAGCGAGCGUAGGCGGUUAACCAAGUUGGGGGUGAAAGCCCGGGGCU
rnacentral:rRNA from 1 species